GUAGGGAAUAUUGGGCAAUGGAGGCAACUCUGACCCAGCCAUGCCGCGUGCAGGAAGACGGUCCUCUGGAUUGUAAACUGCUUUUGAAUGGGAAGAAACGUAGCUUUGCGAAGCUAUUUGACGGUACUAUUAGAAUAAGCACCGGCUAACUCCGUGCCAGCAGCCGCGGUAAUACGGAGGGUGCAAGCGUUAUCCGGAUUUAUUUGGUUUAAAGGGUGCGUAGGCGGCUUGAUAAGUCUGGGGUUAAAGGCGGCAGCUUAACUGUACGCAUGCCCUAGAUACUGUUGAGCUUGAGUGACCUGGAGGUAGCUGGAAUUCCCUGUGUAGCGGUGAAAUGCAUAGAUACGGGGAGGAAUACCGAUUGCGAAGGCAUGUUACUACGGGUAAACUGACGCUGAUGCACGAAAGCGUGGGGAGCAAACAGGAUUAGAAACCCUUGUAGUCC
rnacentral:rRNA from 1 species